UUGGUUUUGGUGCUGUUGUCUCUAGUUAUUCUCUAGUUGUUGAUUUGUUGAAAGUUUUGAGAAAAAGGACCCCAGUUUCCAAGAACUUCGUUUUGAUCAAAUAUCAUUUUAAACAGCAAAAUAAAGUAUCCUCAAAAACGUACUGACUGUGGACGUCCGCCUUUUGAAAUUAUUAAAGAUGAUCCUUCAGCUUUUGUGAUCAGAGAAGAAGAAUUCACUGAAGGCCCUCUGCUGAAGAAAAGAAGUUGAUGUCGGAAACCCCUUCACUGUUUGGAAUGUACUAUAAUAAAUUACCUAAACAGAAAGAAGGUGUUAUCUAAUAUGAGGAAACAUCUCAGAGCUUUUCACAAUUUUACAGCAAAGGGUUUUAAAAUAAAAUGUCCCUGAAAAUGGUUGCAUUUCACCUUGUACCAAAUGUAGUCUGUGGUUGGGGCAAGAACUGGA